rnacentral:rRNA from 1 species
CAGAGAUGUGGAGCGAAACUCAAAAAGUAAGUCUCAGUUCGGAUUGAAGGCUGAAAUUCGCCUUCAUGAAGCCGGAAUUGCUAGUAAUGGCAGGUCAGCAUACUGCCGUGAAUACGUUCCCGGGCCUUGUACACACCGCCCGUCACACCAUGAGAGUUGGGAAUACCCGAAGCCUGUGAGCUAACGUUAAGAGGCAGCAGUCGAAGGUAGAAUCAAUGAUUGGGGUGAAGUCGUAACAAGGUACC